rnacentral:rRNA from 1 species
GGAGGGUGCGAACGUUGCUCGGAUUUACUGGGGCGUAAAGCGCGUGUAGGCGGACUCGCAAGUCGGUUGUGAAAUCCCUGGGGCUCAACCUAGGGAACUGCAUCCGAAACUGCUUGUCUUGAGUAAUGGAGAGGGUGGCGGAAUUACCCGGUGUAGAGGUGAAAUUCGUAGAUAUCGGGAGGAACAUCAGUGGCGAAGGCGGCCACCUGGACAUUUACUGACGCUGAGACGCGAAAGCGUGGGGAGCAAACAGGAUUAGAUACCCUGGUAGUCCACGCCGUAAACGAUGAGAACUAGGUGCAGCGGAUAUUGACCUCUGCUGUGCCGUAGCUAACGCGUUAAGUUCUCCGCCUGGGGAGUACGGCCGCAAAGGCUAA